rnacentral:rRNA from 2 species
GUUAAGCGACUAAGCGUACACGGUGGAUGCCCUGGCAGUCAGAGGCGAUGAAGGGCGUGCUAAUCUGCGAUAAGCGCCGGUAAGGUGAUAUGAACCGUUAUAACCGGCGAUACCCGAAUGGGGAAACCCAGUGUGAUUCGUCACACUAUCAUUAACUGAAUCCAUAGGUUAAUGAGGCGAACCGGGGGAACUGAAACAUCUAAGUACCCCGAGGAAAAGAAAUCAACCGAGAUUCCCCCAGUAGCGGCGAGCGAACGGGGAGGAGCCCAGAGCCUGAAUCAGCAUGUGUGUUAGUGGAAGCGUCUGGAAAGGCGCGCGAUACAGGGUGACAGCCCCGUACACAAAAGCGCAUGUGCUGUGAGCUCGAUGAGUAGGGCGGGACACGUGGUAUCCUGUCUGAAUAUGGGGGGACCAUCCUCCAAGGCUAAAUACUCCUGACUGACCGAUAGUGAACCAGUACCGUGAGGGAAAGGCGAAAAGAACCCCGGCGAGGGGAGUGAAAAAGAACCUGAAACCGUGUACGUACAAGCAGUGGGAGCCCCACCACUAAGCCAGUGGUGAACUCCACAUCCGCAUCCUUUGCUGAGGAUACGGUUAACGGAGCGAAAGCGACGUUCAACCGCAAAACAAGCAGAGGGGGCUUAGUGGUGGGGUGACUGCGUACCUUUUGUAUAAUGGGUCAGCGACUUAUAUUCUGUAGCAAGGUUAACCGUAUAGGGGAGCCGGAGGGAAACCGAGUCUUAACCGGGCGUUAAGUUGCAGGGUAUAGACCCGAAACCCGGUGAUCUAGCCAUGGGCAGGUUGAAGGUUGGGUAACACUAACUGGAGGACCGAACCGACUAAUGUUGAAAAAUUAGCGGAUGACCUGUGGCUGGGGGUGAAAGGCCAAUCAAACCGGGAGAUAGCUGGUUCUCCCCGAAAGCUAUUUAGGUAGCGCCUCGUGAAUUCAUCUCCGGGGGUAGAGCACUGUUUCGGCUAGGGGGCCAUCCCGGCUUACCAACCCGAUGCAAACUGCGAAUACCGGAGAAUGUUAUCACGGGAGACACACGGCGGGUGCUAACGUCCGUCGUGAAGAGGGAAACAACCCAGACCGCCAGCUAAGGUCCCAAAGUCAUGGUUAAGUGGGAAACGAUGUGGGAAGGCCCAGACAGCCAGGAUGUUGGCUUAGAAGCAGCCAUCAUUUAAAGAAAGCGUAAUAGCUCACUGGUCGAGUCGGCCUGCGCGGAAGAUGUAACGGGGCUAAACCAU